UACGGGGGGAGCAAGCGUUGUUCGGAUUUACUGGGCGUAAAGGGCGCGUAGGCGGUCGUGACAAGUCACUUGUGAAAUCUCCGGGCUUAACCCGGAAACUGCCAUUGAUACUAUCUGUCUUGAAUAUCGUGGAGGUAAGCGGAAUAUGUCAUGUAGCGGUGAAAUGCUUAGAUAUGACAUAGAACACCAAUUGCGAAGGCAGCUUACUACCCGAAUAUUGACACUGAGGCACGAAAGCGUGGGGAUCAAACAGG
rnacentral:rRNA from 1 species